CUUUAAAACUGAGUGGGGAUUGCAUGGACUGCCGUCUCUUGGUUAGCGUAGUAGUUCUCCUUGGAGAUUCCUAACGCUGUUCAGCCUUGAGCACUCUGGUCUGCAGGCCCCAAGCCAAAAACAAUACCAAGCUAGCUAGGCAGUUUGCCCAGCUUCUUGAUCUUGAUCUCAAAUCAGGCAAGACUACCCGCUGAAUUUAA
rnacentral:misc_RNA from 1 species